UAAUAUCCAAGCUCAUCAUCUUGAUAAACAUCUAGGACCAUUAACUUUACCCGCUCUCCUUUUUGGAUGCAAGUUCAUGACCUUCCUUCGAACCAAAUUACCAAGCAUAAUGUUGAGUCUAUUGGCAUCCCAUUGGAGGUCUUUGGUUAUGGAUAAUAAUGAUAUUCAAGGGAACUAUCAUCUUCACUAUAUGCACAUUCGUGUUAAUCUCUAGGUUGACAAACCU
rnacentral:lncRNA from 1 species